GACAAUGAUGAGAAGACCUGAGGAUUUGCAGCCCCCAGCCCUGGGUUCAAGUCCCAGCUCUACCCCUUCUUGGCCC